UCUCCGUAGGUGAACCUGCGGAAGGAUCAUUAAAGAGUAAGGGUCCUCUAGGCCCGACCUCCCAACCCUUUGUUUACCAAACCAAUGUUGCUUCGGCGGGCCCGUCUUAGGACCGCCGGAGGACCGUCGAAACGUCCUCUGGCCCGCGCCCGUCGAUGGCCCUUAUUAUUAAACUCUGAACCAAACGUGUCCUGUCUGAGUGAUUAUUAUCAAAAUUAAGGCAAAAACUUUCAACAACGGAUCUCUUGGUUCUG
rnacentral:misc_RNA from 1 species